GCUCAGGUGGUGGAAUUGGUAGACACGCACGCUUGAGGGGCGUGUGGCGCAAGCCGUGCGGGUUCGAGUCCCGCUUUGAGCACCA
rnacentral:tRNA from 5 species